CUUGGUCAUUUAGAGGGAGUAAAAGUCGUAACAAGGUCUCCGUUGGUGAACCAGCGGAGGGAUCAUUACAGGAAGCCGAAAGGCAACUUCAAACCAUYGCGAACGUAUYCAAGUUGCUUYGGCGGSGCGGGRCCCCUCGGGGGRCCSCMGCCCMCSCCCUYCGGGGCGAGGGGCGCCCGCCGGAGGUUMCAAACUCUYGKGUAUUACAGKGGSGUYUYUGAGUAAAAAAAAAAAAGAAAUAAGUCAAAACUUUCAACAACGGAUCUCUUGGUUCUGGCAUCGAUGAAGAACGCAGCGAAAUGCGAUAAGUAAUGUGAAUUGCAGAAUUCAGUGAAUCAUCGAAUCUUUGAACGCACAUUGCGCCCGCUAGUACUCUAGCGGGCAUGCCUGUUCGAGCGUCAUUUCAACCCUCAAGCCCGGCUUGGUGUUGGGGCCCUACGGCUGCCGUAGGCCCUAAAAGGAAGUGGCGGGCUCGCUACAACUCCGAGCGUAGUAAUUCGUUUUCUCGCUAUGGACGUUGCGGCGGUGCUCCUGCCGUUAAAGACCCAUCUUUAACCAAAGGUUGACCUCGGAUCAGGUAGGAAUACCCGCUGAACUUAAGCAUAUCAAUAAGCGGAGGA
rnacentral:rRNA from 1 species